GCCAGGGCACUACGAGCUAAGCUUAAAACCCAAAGGACUUGACGGUACCCCACAUCCCCCUAGAGGAGCCUGUCCCAUAAUCGAUACCCCCCGCUAAACCUCACCAUUCUUAGCCUUUCAGCCUGUAUACUUCCGUCGUCAGCUAACCACAUGAGUGAAAUUCAGUUAGCCUAAUGAUCUUACAUCAAAACUUCAGGUCAAUGUGCAGCAAAUAGAAUGGAAACAGAUGGGCUACACUUUCUAACAUAGAAAAUAACGAAAGACACCGUGAAAUCUGGGUCAAAAGGUGGAUUUAGAAGUAAAAAGAAAUUAGAGUAUUCUUUUUA
rnacentral:rRNA from 1 species